rnacentral:rRNA from 1 species
UACGUAGGAUGCAAGCGUUAAUCGGAAUUACUGGGCGUAAAGCGUGCGCAGGCGGCUUUGCAAGACAGAUGUGAAAUCCCCGGGCUCAACCUGGGAACUGCAUUUGUGACUGCAUGGCUGGAGUGCGGCAGAGGGGGAUGGAAUUCCGCGUGUAGCAGUGAAAUGCGUAGAUAUGCGGAGGAACACCGAUGGCGAAGGCAAUCCCCUGGGCCUGCACUGACGCUCAUGCACGAAAGCGUGGGGAGCAAACAGG